rnacentral:rRNA from 1 species
UGAGGAAUAUUGGUCAAUGGGCGCAAGCCUGAACCAGCCAAGUCGCGUGAGGGAAGACGGUCCUAUGGAUUGUAAACCUCUUUUGUCAGGGAGCAAGCGCGGGACGCGUCCCGUCGUUGAGAGUACCUGAAGAAAAAGCAUCGGCUAACUCCGUGCCAGCAGCCGCGGUAAUACGGAGGAUGCGAGCGUUAUCCGGAUUUAUUGGGUUUAAAGGGUGCGUAGGCGGACCGUUAAGUCAGUGGUAAAAAUUGAGAGGCUCAACCUCUUCCGGCCAUUGAAACUGGCGGACUUGAGUGAGCGAGAAGUAUGCGGAAUGCGUGGUGUAGCGGUGAAAUGCAUAGAUAUCACUCAGAACACCGAUUGCGAAAGGCAUCUGACGAAUCCGUAACUGACGCUGAGGCACGAAAGCGUGGGGAUAGAACAGGAUUAGAUACCCUGGUAGU